GGGAGAGGAGCCCCAGAACUUCUGUCUCUGCUGUUCCCUUCCUGCCCCCAGAACUGUCCUCAUAAACCCCCACCAUGCAGUCUGCCUUCAGUCUGUUUUCUAUCCUGGCCCUGCUCCAAGGUGUGCAGGGUGAUGUGCAGCUGGUGGAGUCCGGGGGAGACUUGAAACAGCCCGGCGGGUCUCUGAGCCUCUCCUGUAAAGCCUCUGGAUUGACCAGCAGCUACUACUACAUGCACUGGGUCCGCCAGCCUCCAGGGAAGGGGCUGGAGUGGGUCGCUUGGCUUGAUACUGAUGAUAGUAGAACCAACUAUGCGGACUCUGUGAAAGGCCGAUUCACCAUCUCCUGGGACAAGGCCAACAGCCUCCUGAGUUUGCAAAUGAACAGCCUGAAAACUGAGGACACGGCCCUGUAUUACUGUGCUACAAACACAGUGAGAGAAACCACAUUCUGUGCCUGUCAGAAACCCUGGGAGGAUCUCUGGGCUCCAGCUGGCUGGGGAGCAGAACAGCAGGGACCACAGACAAUAGCCCUGGCCUCUAAGACUAAGCAUUAAUUCUAUUAUUAAGGUUGUUAACAAUUUCAAAACAAGACCUAUCAUAAAAUCCCAUUGUUAUGUAAAAUUAAAUGGGAACCAGAGCUUGAUUUUUCCUACAUCUAAUAAAUAUCUCAGAAAAUCCCUCCAAAGCAGGCAGAUGAGUGGCAAUACAAUUGAGAUUAACUAUGAACCUAAUGGAAUCUAUCCAGAAUUGUGUUUCAGGAAUCACAGUUUAGUUUACAAUGUUUGCAGUUAAGUCAGUAUACAUAAUGUCUGUAUAAAUGAGACCCCACUUUACUCAGGCAGUGACCCAACACAGACCCCCAGGGACCUACACAGACAGCUCUGGUGCAGGGAAGGAGACACAGAGAGGCAAAGCAGGAAGCAAAGGAAGGGAGGGGGGCUGAUGCCCGGGGAGAGUAUAUGCAUUCAUAAGCUAUUAACACACAAGUACAGUCUUUAAG